rnacentral:rRNA from 1 species
AUUGAACGCUGGCGGCAGGCCUAACACAUGCAAGUCGAGCGGAUGAAGGGAGCUUGCUCCUGGAUUCAGCGGCGGACGGGUGAGUAAUGCCUAGGAAUCUGCCUGGUAGUGGGGGAUAACGUCCGGAAACGGGCGCUAAUACCGCAUACGUCCUGAGGGAGAAAGUGGGGGAUCUUCGGACCUCACGCUAUCAGAUGAGCCUAGGUCGGAUUAGCUAGUUGGUGGGGUAAAGGCCUACCAAGGCGACGAUCCGUAACUGGUCUGAGAGGAUGAUCAGUCACACUGGAACUGAGAAACGGUCCAGACUCCUACGGGAGGCAGCAGUGGGGAAUAUUGGACAAUGGGCGAAAGCCUGAUCCAGCCAUGCCGCGUGUGUGAAGAAGGUUUUCGGAUUGUAAAGCACUUUAAGUUGGGAGGAAGGGCAGUAAGUUAAUACCUUGCUGUUUUGACGUUACCAACAGAAUAAGCACCGGCUAACUUCGUG